rnacentral:tRNA from 1 species
GGAGAGGUUCCCGAGUGGCUAAAGGGAGCAGACUGUAAAUCUGCCGCGUUUCGCUUCGUUGGUUCGAAUCCAACCCCCUCCACCA